rnacentral:rRNA from 3 species
UGACCUCGAAUCAGGUAGGGAUACCCGCUGAACUUAAGCAUAU